GAUUACCACUGGCCUUUCAAUUAGUUUUGUUCACAUUCCCCCAGUUAUCACUCAAGCAACUCCCUUUCUGGGGCUCCUGUCUUCUCUGGAGAUCUCUGAAAUGAGGGUGAAGGAUGAUGUGACAACCAUCAGCUCUCAAUCCUCCAGUGUGCUUCUUGUAUACUGAAUAUGAAAAUUCAUGUCUUAUGAAGAAAGGCUGAGACAGCUGGGGCUGUU